CUGAGCUAACAUCCAUGCCCAUCUUCCUCUACUUUAUAUGUGGGACGCCUGCCACAGCAUGGCUUGCCAAGCAGUACCUUGUUUGCACCCGGGAUCCAAACUGGCGAACCCCAGGCUGCCUAGGUGGAACCUGCGCACUUAACUGCUGCACCAGGGGGCCAGCCCCUAAGAACUUUUUGAAGAUCACACAGACAUUUAUACGUGGGACGCCUACCACAGCAUGGCUGCCAAGCAGUGCCAUGUCCGCACCCGGGAUCCGAACCAGCGAACCCCGGGCCGCCGAGAAGCGGAACGUGCGAACUUAACCGCUGCGCCACCGGGCCAGCCCCAGAAACUGUUAUUACUUUUUGUCAGGUAUAAGUUCCAUGGAACUGGA
rnacentral:lncRNA from 1 species